GGUAGAGCCGAUGGCGAAGGCAGCCCCCUGGGUCGACACUGACGCUCAUGCACGAAAGCGUGGGGAGCAAACAGGAUUAGAUACCCUGGUAGUCCACGCCCUAAACGAUGUCAACUAGGUGUUGGGGAAGGAGACUUCUUUAGUACCGCAGCUAACGCGAUAAGUUGACCGCCUGGGGAGUACGUUCGCAAGAUUAAAACUCAAAGGAAUUGACGGGGACCCGCACAAGCGGUGGAUUAUGUGGAUUGGUUCGAUGCAACGCGAAAAACCUUACCUACCCUUGACAUGUCAGAAAGAAUUGCCAGAGAUGUGAUUGUGCCCGAAAGGGAAUCUGAACACAGGUAAGCUGCAUGGCUGUCGUCAGGCUCGUGUCGUGAGAUGUUGGGUUAAGUCCCGCAACGAGC
rnacentral:rRNA from 1 species